rnacentral:misc_RNA from 1 species
GAUGAAGAACGUAGCGAAAUGCGAUACGUAAUGUGAAUUGCAGAAUUCAGUGAAUCAUCGAAUCUUUGAACGCACAUUGCGCCCGCCAGUAUUCUGGCGGGCAUGCCUGUCCGAGCGUCAUUUCAACCCUCGAACCCCUCCGGGGGGUCGGCGUUGGGGAUCGGCCCUUUACGGGGCCGGCCCCGAAAUACAGUGGCGGUCUCGCCGCAGCCUCUCCUGCGCAGUAGUUUGCACACUCGCAUCGGGAGCGCGGCGCGUCCACAGCCGUUAAACACCCCAAACUUCUGAAAUGUUGACCUCGGAUCAGGUAGGAAUACCCGCUGAACUUAAGCAUAUCAAUAAGCGGAGGA